rnacentral:rRNA from 1 species
UACGAAGGGGGCUAGCGUUGCUCGGAAUCACUGGGCGUAAAGGGCGCGUAGGCGGCUUUGUGCGUCACCCGUGAAAGCCCCCGGCUCAACCGGGGAGGGUCGGGUGAAACGGCGGAGCUGGAGGCAGCGAGAGGCUGGUGGAAUUCUCGGUGUAGAGGUGAAAUUCGUAGAUAUCGAGAGGAACACCGGUGGCGAAGGCGGCCAACUGGACGAAUACUGACGCUGAGACUCGAAAGCGUGGGGAGCAAACAGG